UCAUUUUUGAUGAGACGCUGAAUAAAAGAAGUUUAAACGCCGGCAAACGAAAACCCGCGACUUCCCGUAAAUCCCGGACUCGGCCCGUAUAAUCAAAAGUAUACAAAGAAAGUAUCCAGGGAGUAAACUCAUUUCCGAACGAUUUUUUAAAAUAUUUUUUCACCACUAAAACGCAUGAGACUUGUAGUUUUCAAAAAUGUUUUCAUUUUUGAUGAGACGCUGAAUAAAAGAAGUUUAAUCGCCGGCAAACGAAAACCUGCGAUUUCCCGUAAAUCCCGGACUUGGCCCGUAUAGUAAAGAAAGUACCCGAGUUGUAAACUCAUUUCACGAACGAUUUUUUAAAUUAUUAUUUCACCACUAAAUCCCAUGAGACUUAUAGUUUUUCAAAAAUGUUUUCAUUUUUGAUGAGACGCUGAAUAAAAGAAGUUUAAUCGCCGGCAAACGAAAACCCGCCAUUUCCUGUAAACCCCGGACUCGGCCCAUAUAGUCAAAAGUAUACAAAGAAAUUACCCAGGGAGUGAACUCAUUUUCCGAACGAUUUUUUAAAUUAUUUUUUCACCACUACAACGCAUGAGACUUGUAGUUUUUAAAAAUGUUUUCAUUUUUGAUGAGACGCUGAAUAAAAGAAGUUUAAUCGCCGGCAAACGAAAACCCGCCGUAAACCCCGGACUCGACCCGUAUAGUCAAAAGUAUACAAAGAAAGUACCCAGGGAGUAAACUCAUUUCCCGAACGAUUUUUUAUAUUUCUUUUCUACCACUAAACGCAUGAGACUUGUAGUUUUCAAAAAUAUUUUCAUAUUUGAUGGGACGCUGAAUAAAAGGUGUUUAAUCGCCGGAAAACGAAAAUCCGCGAUUUCCCGUAAAUCCCAAACUCGGCCCGUAUAGUCAAAAGUAUACAAAAAAGAAGUUUAAUCGCCGGCAAACGAAAAGCUGCGAUUUCCCGUAAAUCCCGGACUCGGCCCGUAUAGUCAAAAGUAUACAAAGAAAGUACCCGGGGUGUAAACUCAUUUCCCGAACGAUUUUUUAAAUUAUUUUUUCACCACUAAAACGCAUGAGACUUGUAGUUUUCAAAAAUGUUUUCAUUUUUGAUGAGACGCUGAAUAGAAGAAGUUUAAUCGCCGGCAAACGAAAACACGCCAUUUCCCGUAAACACUGGACUCGGCCCGUAUAAUCAAAAGUAUACAAAGAAAGUACCCAGGGAGUAAACUCAUUUCCCGAACGAUUUUUUAAAUUAUUUUUUCACCACUAAAACGCAUGAGACUUGUAAUUUUCAAAAAUGUUUUCAUUUUUGAUGAGACGCUGAAUAAAAGAAGUUUAAUCGCCGGCAAACGAAAAUCCGCCAUUUCCCGUAAACCCCGGACUCAAGCGGGCAUAGUCAAAAGUAAACAAAGAAAGUACCCAGGAAGUAAACUCAUUUCCCGAACGAUUUUUUAAAUUAUUUUUUCACCACUAAAACGCAUGAGACUUGUAGUUUUCAAAAAUGUUUUCAUUUUUGAUGAGACGCUGAAUAAAAGAAGUUUAAUCGCCGGCAAACGAAUACCUGCGAUUUCCCGUAAAUCCCGGACUCGGCCCGUAUAGUCAAAAGUAUACAAAGAAAGUACCCAGGGUGUAAACUUAUUUCCCGAACGAUUUUUUAAAUUAUUAUUUCACCACUAAAGCCCAUGAGACUUGUAGUUUUUAAAAAUGUUUUCAUUUUUGAUGAGACGCUGAAUAAAAGAAGUUUAUUCGCCGGCAAACGAAAACCUGCGAUUUCCCGUAAAUCCCGGACUCGGCCCGUAUAGUAAAGAAAGUACCCGGGGUGUAAACUCAUUUCCCGAACGAUUUUUUAAAUUAUUUUUUCACCACUACAACGCAUGAGACUUGUAGUUUUUAAAAAUGUUUUCAUUUUUGAUGAGACGCUGAAUAAAAGAAGUUUAAUCGCCGGCAAACGAAAGCCCGCCAUUUCCCGUAAACCCCGGACUCGGCCCGUAUAGUCAAAAGUAUACAAAGAAAUUACCCAGGGAGUAAACUCAUUUUCUGAACGAUUUUUUAAAUUAUUUUUUCACCACUAAAACGCAUGAGACUUGUAGUUUUCAAAAAUGUUUUCAUUUUUGAUGAGACGGUUAAUGAAAGAAGUUUAAUCGCCGGCAAACGAAAACCCGCGAUUUCCCGUAAAUCCCGGGCUUGGCCCGUAUAGUCGAAUGUAUACGAAGAAAGUACCCUGUGAGUAAACUCAUUUCCCGAACAAUUUUUUGUAUUUUUUUUUUACCACUAAACGCAUGAGACUUGUAGUUUUCAAAAAUAUUUUCAUAUUUGAUGGGACGCUGAAUAAAAGAUGUUUAAUCGCCGGAAAACGAAAAUCCGCGAUUUCCCGUAAAUCCGAAACUCGGCCCGUAUAGUCAAAAGUAUACAAAAAAGAAGUUUAAUCGCUGGCAAACGAAAACCUGCGAUUUCCCGUAAAUCCCGGACUCGGCCCGUAUAGUCAAAAGUAUACAAAGAAAGUACCCGGGGUGUAAACACAUUUGCCGAACGAUUUUUUAAAUUAUUUUUUCACCACUAAAACGCAUGAGACUUGUAGUUUUCAAAAAUGUUUUCAUUUUUGAUGAGACGCUGAAUAAAAGAAGUUUAAUCGCCGGCAAACGAAAACCCGCCGUAAACCCCGGACUCGACCCGUAUAGUCAAAAGUAUACAAAGAAAGUACCCAGGGAGUAAACUCAUUUCCCGAACGAUUUUUUAUAUUUCUUUUCUACCACUAAACGCAUGAGACUUGUAGUUUUCAAAAAUAUUUUCAUAUUUGAUGGGACGCUGAAUAAAAGGUGUUUAAUCGCCGGAAAACGAAAAUCCGCGAUUUCCCGUAAAUCCCAAACUCGGCCCGUAUAGUCAAAAGUAUACAAAAAAGAAGUUUAAUCGCCGGCAAACGAAAAGCUGCGAUUUCCCGUAAAUCCCGGACUCGGCCCGUAUAGUCAAAAGUAUACAAAGAAAGUACCCGGGGUGUAAACUCAUUUCCCGAACGAUUUUUUAAAUUAUUUUUUCACCACUAAAACGCAUGAGACUUGUAGUUUUCAAAAAUGUUUUCAUUUUUGAUGAGACGCUGAAUAGAAGAAGUUUAAUCGCCGGCAAACGAAAACACGCCAUUUCCCGUAAACACUGGACUCGGCCCGUAUAAUCAAAAGUAUACAAAGAAAGUACCCAGGGAGUAAACUCAUUUCCCGAACGAUUUUUUAAAUUAUUUUUUCACCACUAAAACGCAUGAGACUUGUAAUUUUCAAAAAUGUUUUCAUUUUUGAUGAGACGCUGAAUAAAAGAAGUUUAAUCGCCGGCAAACGAAAAUCCGCCAUUUCCCGUAAACCCCGGACUCAAGCGGGCAUAGUCAAAAGUAAACAAAGAAAGUACCCAGGAAGUAAACUCAUUUCCCGAACGAUUUUUUAAAUUAUUUUUUCACCACUAAAACGCAUGAGACUUGUAGUUUUCAAAAAUGUUUUCAUUUUUGAUGAGACGCUGAAUAAAAGAAGUUUAAUCGCCGGCAAACGAAUACCUGCGAUUUCCCGUAAAUCCCGGACUCGGCCCGUAUAGUCAAAAGUAUACAAAGAAAGUACCCAGGGUGUAAACUUAUUUCCCGAACGAUUUUUUAAAUUAUUAUUUCACCACUAAAGCCCAUGAGACUUGUAGUUUUUAAAAAUGUUUUCAUUUUUGAUGAGACGCUGAAUAAAAGAAGUUUAUUCGCCGGCAAACGAAAACCUGCGAUUUCCCGUAAAUCCCGGACUCGGCCCGUAUAGUAAAGAAAGUACCCGGGUUGUAAACUCAUUUCACGAACGAUUUUUUAAAUUAUUAUUUCACCACUAAAUCCCAUGAGACUUAUAGUUUUUCAAAAAUGUUUUCAUUUUUGAUGAGACGCUGAAUAAAAGAAGUUUAAUCGCCGGCAAACGAAAACCCGCCAUUUCCCGUAAACCCCGGACUCGGCCCGUAUAGUCAAAAGUAUACAAAGAAAUUACCCAGGGAGUAAACUCAUUUUCUGAACGAUUUUUUAAAUUAUUUUUUCACCACUAAAACGCAUGAGACUUGUAGUUUUCAAAAAUGUUUUCAUUUUUGAUGAGACGGUUAAUGAAAGAAGUUUAAUCGCCGGCAAACGAAAACCCGCGAUUUCCCGUAAAUCCCGGGCUUGGCCCGUAUAGUCGAAUGUAUACAAAGAAAGUACCCUCUGAGUAAACUCAUUUCCCGAACGAUUUUUUAUAUUUUUUUUUUACCACUAAACGCAUGAGACUUGUAGUUUUCAAAAAUAUUUUGAUAUUUGAUGGGACGCUGAAUAAAAGAAGUUUAAUCGCCGGAAAACAAAAAUCCACGAUUUCCCGUAAAUCCCAAACUCGGCCCGUAUAGUCAAAAGUAUACAAAAAAGAAGUUUAAUCGCCGGCAAACGAAAACCUGCGAUUUCCCGUAAAUCCCGGACUCGGCCCGUAUAGUCAAAAGUAUACAAAGAAAGUACCCAGGGUGUAAACUCAUUUCCCGAACGAUUUUUUAAAUUAUUUUUUCACCACUACAACGCAUGAGACUUGUAGUUUUUAAAAAUGUUUUCAUUUUUGAUGAGACGCUGAAUAAAAGAAGUUUAAUCGCCGGCAAACGAAAGCCCGCCAUUUCCCGUAAACCCCGGACUCGGCCCGUAUAGUCAAAAGUAUACAAAGAAAUUACCCAGGGAGUAAACUCAUUUUCUGAACGAUUUUUUAAAUUAUUUUUUCACCACUAAAACGCAUGAGACUUGUAGUUUUCAAAAAUGUUUUCAUUUUUGAUGAGACGGUUAAUGAAAGAAGUUUAAUCGCCGGCAAACGAAAACCCGCGAUUUCCCGUAAAUCCCGGGCUUGGCCCGUAUAGUCGAAUGUAUACGAAGAAAGUACCCUGUGAGUAAACUCAUUUCCCGAACAAUUUUUUGUAUUUUUUUUUUACCACUAAACGCAUGAGACUUGUAGUUUUCAAAAAUAUUUUCAUAUUUGAUGGGACGCUGAAUAAAAGAUGUUUAAUCGCCGGAAAACGAAAAUCCGCGAUUUCCCGUAAAUCCGAAACUCGGCCCGUAUAGUCAAAAGUAUACAAAAAAGAAGUUUAAUCGCUGGCAAACGAAAACCUGCGAUUUCCCGUAAAUCCCGGACUCGGCCCGUAUAGUCAAAAGUAUACAAAGAAAGUACCCGGGGUGUAAACACAUUUGCCGAACGAUUUUUUAAAUUAUUUUUUCACCACUAAAACGCAUGAGACUUGUAGUUUUCAAAAAUGUUUUCAUUUUUGAUGAGACGCUGAAUAAAAGAAGUUUAAUCGCCGGCAAACGAAAACCCGCCAUUUCCCGUAAACACUGGACUCGGCCCGUAUAAUCAAAAGUAUACAAAGAAAGUACCCAGGGAGUAAACUCAUUUCCCGAACGAUUUUUUAAAUUAUUUUUUCACCAUUAAAACGCAUGAGACUUGUAAUUUUCAAAAAUGUUUUCAUUUUUGAUGAGACGCUGAAUAAAAGAAGUUUAAUUGCCGGCAAACGAAAAUCCGCCAUUUCCCGUAAACCCCGGACUCAAGCGGGCAUAGUCAAAAGUAAACAAAGAAAGUACCCAGGAAGUAAACUCAUUUCCCGAACGAUUUUUUAAAUUAUUUUUUCACCACUAAACGCAUGAGACUUGUAGUUUUCAAAAAUAUUUUCAUAUUUGAUGGGACGCUGAAUAAAAGAUGUUUAAUCGCCGGAAAACGAAAAUCCGCGAUUUCCCGUAAAUCCGAAACUCGGCCCGUAUAGUCAAAAGUAUACAAAAAAGAAGUUUAAUCGCUGGCAAACGAAAACCUGCGAUUUCCCGUAAAUCCCGGACUCGGCCCGUAUAGUCAAAAGUAUACAAAGAAAGUACCCGGGGUGUAAACUCAUUUGCCGAACGAUUUUUUAAAUUAUUUUUUCACCACUAAAACGCAUGAGACUUGUAGUUUUCAAAAAUGUUUUCAUUUUUGAUGAGACGCUGAAUAAAAGAAGUUUAAUCGCCGGCAAACGAAAACCCGCCAUUUCCCGUAAACACUGGACUCGGCCCGUAUAAUCAAAAGUAUACAAAGAAAGUACCCAGGGAGUAAACUCAUUUCCCGAACGAUUUUUUAAAUUAUUUUUUCACCACUAAAACGCAUGAGACUUGUAGUUUUCAAAAAUGUUUUCAUUUUUGAUGAGACGCUGAAUAGAAGAAGUUUAAUCGCCGGCAAACGAAAACACGCCAUUUCCCGUAAACACUGGACUCGGCCCGUAUAAUCAAAAGUAUACAAAGAAAGUACCCAGGGAGUAAACUCAUUUCCCGAACGAUUUUUUAAAUUAUUUUUUCACCACUAAAACGCAUGAGACUUGUAAUUUUCAAAAAUGUUUUCAUUUUUGAUGAGACGCUGAAUAAAAGAAGUUUAAUCGCCGGCAAACGAAAAUCCGCCAUUUCCCGUAAACCCCGGACUCAAGCGGGCAUAGUCAAAAGUAAACAAAGAAAGUACCCAGGAAGUAAACUCAUUUCCCGAACGAUUUUUUAAAUUAUUUUUUCACCACUAAAACGCAUGAGACUUGUAGUUUUCAAAAAUGUUUUCAUUUUUGAUGAGACGCUGAAUAAAAGAAGUUUAAUCGCCGGCAAACGAAUACCUGCGAUUUCCCGUAAAUCCCGGACUCGGCCCGUAUAGUCAAAAGUAUACAAAGAAAGUACCCAGGGUGUAAACUUAUUUCCCGAACGAUUUUUUAAAUUAUUAUUUCACCACUAAAGCCCAUGAGACUUGUAGUUUUUAAAAAUGUUUUCAUUUUUGAUGAGACGCUGAAUAAAAGAAGUUUAAUCGCCGGCAAACGAAAACCUGCGAUUUCCCGUAAAUCCCGGACUCGGCCCGUAUAGUAAAGAAAGUACCCGGGUUGUAAACUCAUUUCACGAACGAUUUUUUAAAUUAUUAUUUCACCACUAAAUCCCAUGAGACUUAUAGUUUUUCAAAAAUGUUUUCAUUUUUGAUGAGACGCUGAAUAAAAGAAGUUUAAUCGCCGGCAAACGAAAACCCGCCAUUUCCCGUAAACCCCGGACUCGGCCCGUAUAGUCAAAAGUAUACAAAGAAAUUACCCAGGGAGUAAACUCAUUUUCUGAACGAUUUUUUAAAUUAUUUUUUCACCACUAAAACGCAUGAGACUUGUAGUUUUCAAAAAUGUUUUCAUUUUUGAUGAGACGGUUAAUGAAAGAAGUUUAAUCGCCGGCAAACGAAAACCCGCGAUUUCCCGUAAAUCCCGGGCUUGGACCGUAUAGUCGAAUGUAUACAAAGAAAGUACCCUCUGAGUAAACUCAUUUCCCGAACGAUUUUUUAUAUUUUUUUUUUACCACUAAACGCAUGAGACUUGUAGUUUUCAAAAAUAUUUUGAUAUUUGAUGGGACGCUGAAUAAAAGAAGUUUAAUCGCCGGAAAACAAAAAUCCACGAUUUCCCGUAAAUCCCAAACUCGGCCCGUAUAGUCAAAAGUAUACAAAAAAGAAGUUUAAUCGCCGGCAAACGAAAACCUGCGAUUUCCCGUAAAUCCCGGACUCGGCCCGUAUAGUCAAAAGUAUACAAAGAAAGUACCCAGGGUGUAAACUCAUUUCCUGAACGAUUUUUUAAAUUAUUUUUUCACCACUACAACGCAUGAGACUUGUAGUUUUUAAAAAUGUUUUCAUUUUUGAUGAGACGCUGAAUAAAAGAAGUUUAAUCGCCGGCAAACGAAAGCCCGCCAUUUCCCGUAAACCCCGGACUCGGCCCGUAUAGUCAAAAGUAUACAAAGAAAUUACCCAGGUAGUAAACUCAUUUUCUGAACGAUUUUUUAAAUUAUUUUUUCACCACUAAAACGCAUGAGACUUGUAGUUUUCAAAAAUGUUUUCAUUUUUGAUGAGACGGUUAAUGAAAGAAGUUUAAUCGCCGGCAAACGAAAACCCGCGAUUUCCCGUAAAUCCCGGGCUUGGCCCGUAUAGUCGAAUGUAUACGAAGAAAGUACCCUGUGAGUAAACUCAUUUCCCGAACAAUUUUUUGUAUUUUUUUUUUACCACUAAACGCAUGAGACUUGUAGUUUUCAAAAAUAUUUUCAUAUUUGAUGGGACGCUGAAUAAAAGAUGUUUAAUCGCCGAAAAACGAAAAUCCGCGAUUUCCCGUAAAUCCGAAACUCGGCCCGUAUAGUCAAAAGUAUACAAAAAAGAAGUUUAAUCGCUGGCAAACGAAAACCUGCGAUUUCCCGUAAAUCCCGGACUCGGCCCGUAUAGUCAAAAGUAUACAAAGAAAGUACCCGGGGUGUAAACACAUUUGCCGAACGAUUUUUUAAAUUAUUUUUUCACCACUAAAACGCAUGAGACUUGUAGUUUUCAAAAAUGUUUUCAUUUUUGAUGAGACGCUGAAUAAAAGAAGUUUAAUCGCCGGCAAACGAAAACCCGCCAUUUCCCGUAAACACUGGACUCGGCCCGUAUAAUCAAAAGUAUACAAAGAAAGUACCCAGGGAGUAAACUCAUUUCCCGAACGAUUUUUUAAAUUAUUUUUUCACCACUAAAACGCAUGAGACUUGUAAUUUUCAAAAAUGUUUUCAUUUUUGAUGAGACGCUGAAUAAAAGAAGUUUAAUUGCCGGCAAACGAAAAUCCGCCAUUUCCCGUAAACCCCGGACUCAAGCGGGCAUAGUCAAAAGUAAACAAAGAAAGUACCCAGGAAGUAAACUCAUUUCCCGAACGAUUUUUUAAAUUAUUUUUUCACCACUAAACGCAUGAGACUUGUAGUUUUCAAAAAUAUUUUCAUAUUUGAUGGGACGCUGAAUAAAAGAUGUUUAAUCGCCGGAAAACGAAAAUCCGCGAUUUCCCGUAAAUCCGAAACUCGGCCCGUAUAGUCAAAAGUAUACAAAAAAGAAGUUUAAUCGCUGGCAAACGAAAACCUGCGAUUUCCCGUAAAUCCCGGACUCGGCCCGUAUAGUCAAAAGUAUACAAAGAAAGUACCCGGGGUGUAAACUCAUUUGCCGAACGAUUUUUUAAAUUAUUUUUUCACCACUAAAACGCAUGAGACUUGUAGUUUUCAAAAAUGUUUUCAUUUUUGAUGAGACGCUGAAUAAAAGAAGUUUAAUCGCCGGCAAACGAAAACCCGCCAUUUCCCGUAAACACUGGACUCGGCCCGUAUAAUCAAAAGUAUACAAAGAAAGUACCCAGGGAGUAAACUCAUUUCCCGAACGAUUUUUUAAAUUUAUUUUUCACCACUAAAACGCAUGAGACUUGUAAUUUUCAAAAAUGUUUUCAUUUUUGAUGAGACGCUGAAUAAAAGAAGUUUAAUUGCCGGCAAACGAAAAUCCGCCAUUUCCCGUAAACCCCGGACUCAAGCGGGCAUAGUCAAAAGUAAACAAAGAAAGUACCCAGGAAGUAAACUCAUUUCCCGAACGAUUUUUUAAAUUAUUUUUUCACCACUAAAACGCAUGAGACUUGUAGUUUUCAAAAAUGUUUUCAUUUUUGAUGAGACGCUGAAUAAAAGAAGUUUAAUCGCUGGCAAACGAAUACCUGCGAUUUCCCGUAAAUCCCGGACUCGGCCCGUAUAGUCAAAAGUAUACAAAGAAAGUACCCAGGGUGUAAACUUAUUUCCCGAACGAUUUUUUAAAUUAUUAUUUCACCACUAAAGCCCAUGAGACUUGUAGUUUUUAAAAAUGUUUUCAUUUUUGAUGAGACGCUAAAUAAAAGAAGUUUAAACGCCGGCAAACGAAAACCCGCGACUUCCCGUAAAUCCCGGACUCGGCCCGUAUAGUCAAAAGUAUACAAAGAAAGUACCCAGGGAGUAAACUCAUUCCCGAACGAUAUUUUAAAAUAUUAUUUCACCACUAAAGCCCAUGAGACUUGUAGUUUUCAAAAAUGUUUUCAUUUUUGAUGAGACGCUGAAUAAAAGAAGUUUAAUCGCCGGCAAACGAAUACCUGCGAUUUCCCGUAAAUCCCGGACUCGGCCCGUAUAGUCAAAAGUAUACAAAGAAAGUACCCAGGGUGUAAACUCAUUUCCUGAACGAUUUUUUAAAUUAUUUUUUCACCACUACAACGCAUGAGACUUGUAGUUUUUAAAAAUGUUUUCAUUUUUGAUGAGACGCUGAAUAAAAGAAGUUUAAUCGCCGGCAAACGAAAGCCCGCCAUUUCCCGUAAACCCCGGACUCGGCCCGUAUAGUCAAAAGUAUACAAAGAAAUUACCCAGGUAGUAAACUCAUUUUCUGAACGAUUUUUUAAAUUAUUUUUUCACCACUAAAACGCAUGAGACUUGUAGUUUUCAAAAAUGUUUUCAUUUUUGAUGAGACGGUUAAUGAAAGAAGUUUAAUCGCCGGCAAACGAAAACCCGCGAUUUCCCGUAAAUCCCGGGCUUGGCCCGUAUAGUCGAAUGUAUACGAAGAAAGUACCCUGUGAGUAAACUCAUUUCCCGAACAAUUUUUUGUAUUUUUUUUUUACCACUAAACGCAUGAGACUUGUAGUUUUCAAAAAUAUUUUCAUAUUUGAUGGGACGCUGAAUAAAAGAUGUUUAAUCGCCGAAAAACGAAAAUCCGCGAUUUCCCGUAAAUCCGAAACUCGGCCCGUAUAGUCAAAAGUAUACAAAAAAGAAGUUUAAUCGCUGGCAAACGAAAACCUGCGAUUUCCCGUAAAUCCCGGACUCGGCCCGUAUAGUCAAAAGUAUACAAAGAAAGUACCCGGGGUGUAAACACAUUUGCCGAACGAUUUUUUAAAUUAUUUUUUCACCACUAAAACGCAUGAGACUUGUAGUUUUCAAAAAUGUUUUCAUUUUUGAUGAGACGCUGAAUAAAAGAAGUUUAAUCGCCGGCAAACGAAAACCCGCCAUUUCCCGUAAACACUGGACUCGGCCCGUAUAAUCAAAAGUAUACAAAGAAAGUACCCAGGGAGUAAACUCAUUUCCCGAACGAUUUUUUAAAUUAUUUUUUCACCACUAAAACGCAUGAGACUUGUAAUUUUCAAAAAUGUUUUCAUUUUUGAUGAGACGCUGAAUAAAAGAAGUUUAAUUGCCGGCAAACGAAAAUCCGCCAUUUCCCGUAAACCCCGGACUCAAGCGGGCAUAGUCAAAAGUAAACAAAGAAAGUACCCAGGAAGUAAACUCAUUUCCCGAACGAUUUUUUAAAUUAUUUUUUCACCACUAAACGCAUGAGACUUGUAGUUUUCAAAAAUAUUUUCAUAUUUGAUGGGACGCUGAAUAAAAGAUGUUUAAUCGCCGGAAAACGAAAAUCCGCGAUUUCCCGUAAAUCCGAAACUCGGCCCGUAUAGUCAAAAGUAUACAAAAAAGAAGUUUAAUCGCUGGCAAACGAAAACCUGCGAUUUCCCGUAAAUCCCGGACUCGGCCCGUAUAGUCAAAAGUAUACAAAGAAAGUACCCGGGGUGUAAACUCAUUUGCCGAACGAUUUUUUAAAUUAUUUUUUCACCACUAAAACGCAUGAGACUUGUAGUUUUCAAAAAUGUUUUCAUUUUUGAUGAGACGCUGAAUAAAAGAAGUUUAAUCGCCGGCAAACGAAAACCCGCCAUUUCCCGUAAACACUGGACUCGGCCCGUAUAAUCAAAAGUAUACAAAGAAAGUACCCAGGGAGUAAACUCAUUUCCCGAACGAUUUUUUAAAUUUAUUUUUCACCACUAAAACGCAUGAGACUUGUAAUUUUCAAAAAUGUUUUCAUUUUUGAUGAGACGCUGAAUAAAAGAAGUUUAAUUGCCGGCAAACGAAAAUCCGCCAUUUCCCGUAAACCCCGGACUCAAGCGGGCAUAGUCAAAAGUAAACAAAGAAAGUACCCAGGAAGUAAACUCAUUUCCCGAACGAUUUUUUAAAUUAUUUUUUCACCACUAAAACGCAUGAGACUUGUAGUUUUCAAAAAUGUUUUCAUUUUUGAUGAGACGCUGAAUAAAAGAAGUUUAAUCGCUGGCAAACGAAUACCUGCGAUUUCCCGUAAAUCCCGGACUCGGCCCGUAUAGUCAAAAGUAUACAAAGAAAGUACCCAGGGUGUAAACUUAUUUCCCGAACGAUUUUUUAAAUUAUUAUUUCACCACUAAAGCCCAUGAGACUUGUAGUUUUUAAAAAUGUUUUCAUUUUUGAUGAGACGCUAAAUAAAAGAAGUUUAAACGCCGGCAAACGAAAACCCGCGACUUCCCGUAAAUCCCGGACUCGGCCCGUAUAGUCAAAAGUAUACAAAGAAAGUACCCAGGGAGUAAACUCAUUCCCGAACGAUAUUUUAAAAUAUUAUUUCACCACUAAAGCCCAUGAGACUUGUAGUUUUCAAAAAUGUUUUCAUUUUUGAUGAGACGCUGAAUAAAAGAAGUUUAAUCGCCGGCAAACGAAUACCUGCGAUUUCCCGUAAAUCCCGGACUCGGCCCGUAUAGUCAAAAGUAUACAAAGAAAGUACCCAGGGUGUAAACUUACUUCCCGAAAGAUUUUUUAAAUUAUUAUUUCACCACUAAAGCCCAUGAGACUUGUAGUUUUUAAAAAUGUUUUCAUUUUUGAUGAGACGCUGAAUAAAAGAAGUUUAAACGCCGGCAAACGAAAACCCGCGACUUCCCGUAAAUCCCGGACUCGGCCCGUAUAGUCAAAAGUAUACAAAGAAAGUACCCAGGGAGUAAACUCAUUUCCCGAACGAUUUUUUAAAAUAUUUUUUCACCACUAAAACGCAUGAGACUUGUAGUUUUCAAAAAUGUUUUCAUUUUUGAUGAGACGCUGAAUAAAAGAAGUUUAAUCGCCGGCAAACGAAAACCUGCGAUUUCCCGUAAAUCCCGGACUCGGCCCGUAUAGUAAAGAAAGUACCCGGGUUGUAAACUCAUUUCACGAACGAUUUUUUAAAUUAUUAUUUCACCACUAAAUCCCAUGAGACUUAUAGUUUUUCAAAAAUGUUUUCAUUUUUGAUGAGACGCUGAAUAAAAGAAGUUUAAUCGCCGGCAAACGAAAACCCGCCAUUUCCUGUAAACCCCGGACUCGGCCCGUAUAGUCAAAAGUAUACAAAGAAAUUACCCAGCAAGUGAACUCAUUUUCCGAACGAUUUUUUAAAUUAUUUUUUCACCACUACAACGCAUGAGACUUGUAGUUUUUAAAAAUGUUUUCAUUUUUGAUGAGACGCUGAAUAAAAGAAGUUUAAUCGCCGGCAAACGAAAACCCGCCAUUUCCCGUAAACCCCGGACUCGGCCCGUAUAGUCAAAAAUAUACAAAGAAAUUACCCAGGGAGUAAACUCAUUUUCUGAACCAUUUUUUUAAAUUAUUUUUUCACCACUAAAACGCAUGAGACUUGUAGUUUUCAAAAAUGUUUUCAUUUUUGAUGAGACUGUUAAUGAAAGAAGUUUAAUCGCCGGCAAACGAAAACCCGCGAUUUCCCGUAAAUCCCGGGCUUGGCCCGUAUAGUCGAAUGUAUACAAAGAAAGUACCCUGUGAGUAAACUCAUUUCCCGAACGAUUUUUUAAAUUAUUUUUUCACCACUAAAACGCAUGAGACUUGUAGUUUUCAAAAAUGUUUUCAUUUUUGAUGAGACGCUGAAUAAAAGAAGUUUAAUCGCCGGCAAAGGAAAACCUGCGAUUUCCCGUAAAUCCCGGACUCGGCCCGUAUAGUAAAGAAAGUACCCGGGAUGUAAACUCAUUUCCCGAACGAUUUUUUAAAUUAUUUUUUCACCACUAAAACGCAUGAGACUUGUAGUUUUCAAAAAUGUUUUCAUUUUUGAUGAGACGCUGAAUAAAAGAAGUUUAAUCGCCGGCAAACGAAAACCCGCCGUAAACCCCGGACUCGACCCGUAUAGUCAAAAGUAUACAAAAAAGAAGUUUAAUCGCUGGCAAACAGAAACCUGCGAUUUCCCGUAAAUCCCGGACUCGGCCCGUAUAGUCAAAAGUAUACAAAGAAAGUACCCGGGGUGUAAACUCAUUUCCCGAACGAUUUUUUAAAUUAUUUUUUCACCACUAAAACGCAUGAGACUUGUAGUUUUCAAAAAUGUUUUCAUUUUUGAUGAGACGCUGAAUAAAAGAAGUUUAAUCGCCGGCAAACGAAAACCCGCCAUUUCCCGUAAACACUGGACUCGGCCCGUAUAAUCAAAAGUAUACAAAGAAAGUACCCAGGGAGUAAACUCAUUUCCCGAACGAUAUUUUAAAUUAUUUUUUCACCACUUAAACGCAUGAGACUGGUAGUUUUCAAAAAUGUUUUCAUUUUUGAUGAGACGCUGAAUAAAAGAAGUUUAAUCGCCGGCAAACGAAAACCCGCCAUUUCCCGUAAACCCCGGACUCGGCCCGUAUAGUCAAAAGUAUACAAAGAAAUUACCCACGGAGUAAACUCAUUUUCUGAACGAUUUUUUAAAUUAUUAUUUCACCACUAAAUCCCAUGAGACUUAUAGUUUUUCAAAAAUGUUUUCAUUUUUGAUGAGACGCUGAAUAAAAGAAGUUUAAUCGCCGGCAAACGAAAACCCGCCAUUUCCUGUAAACCCCGGACUCGGCCCGUAUAGUCAAAAGUAUACAAAGAAAUUACCCAGCAAGUGAACUCAUUUUCCGAACGAUUUUUUAAAUUAUUUUUUCACCACUACAACGCAUGAGACUUGUAGUUUUUAAAAAUGUUUUCAUUUUUGAUGAGACGCUGAAUAAAAGAAGUUUAAUCGCCGGCAAACGAAAACCCGCCAUUUCCCGUAAACCCCGGACUCGGCCCGUAUAGUCAAAAAUAUACAAAGAAAUUACCCAGGGAGUAAACUCAUUUUCUGAACCAUUUUUUUAAAUUAUUUUUUCACCACUAAAACGCAUGAGACUUGUAGUUUUCAAAAAUGUUUUCAUUUUUGAUGAGACUGUUAAUGAAAGAAGUUUAAUCGCCGGCAAACGAAAACCCGCGAUUUCCCGUAAAUCCCGGGCUUGGCCCGUAUAGUCGAAUGUAUACAAAGAAAGUACCCUGUGAGUAAACUCAUUUCCCGAACGAUUUUUUAAAUUAUUUUUUCACCACUAAAACGCAUGAGACUUGUAGUUUUCAAAAAUGUUUUCAUUUUUGAUGAGACGCUGAAUAAAAGAAGUUUAAUCGCCGGCAAAGGAAAACCUGCGAUUUCCCGUAAAUCCCGGACUCGGCCCGUAUAGUAAAGAAAGUACCCGGGAUGUAAACUCAUUUCCCGAACGAUUUUUUAAA